rnacentral:rRNA from 1 species
AGUGAACGCUGGCGGUAUGCCUAACACAUGCAAGUCGAACGGAAGCACAGUAAGAGCUCGCCCUUACGGUUGGCGAGUGGCGGACGGGUGAGGAAUACAUCGGAAUCUACUUUUUCGUGGGUGAUAACGUAGGGAAACUUACGCUAAUACCGCAUACGACCUACGGGUGAAAGCAGAGGAUCUUCGGACCUUGCGCGACUGAAUUAGCCGAUGUCGGAUUAGCUAGUUGGCGGGGUAAAGGCCCACCAAGGCGACGAUCCGUAGCUGGUCUGAGAGGAUGAUCAGCCACACUGGAACUGAGACACGGUCCAGACUCCUACGGGAGGCAGCAGUGGGGAAUAUUGGACAAUGGGCGCAAGCCUGAUCCAGCCAUACCGCGUGGGUGAAGAAGGCCUUCGGAUUGUAAAGCCCUUUUGUUGGGAAAGAAAAGCAGCAGGUUAAUACCCCGCUGUUCUGACGGUACCCAAAGAAUAAGCACCGGCUAACUUCGUG